UACGGAAGGCAGCAGUGGGGAAUAUUGCACAAUGGGCGCAAGCCUGAUGCAGCCAUGCCGCGUGUAUGAAGAAGGCCUUCGGGUUGUAAAGUACUUUCAGUCGUGAGGAAGGUGUUAAGGUUAAUAACCUUAGCAAUUGACGUUAGCGACAGAAGAAGCACCGGCUAACUCCGUGCCAGCAGCCGCGGUAAUACGGAGGGUGCGAGCGUUAAUCGGAAUUACUGGGCGUAAAGGGCACGCAGGCGGUUAAUUAAGUUGGAUGUGAAAUUCCCGGGCUUAACCUGGGAAUGGCAUUCAAGACUGGUUAGCUAGAGUCUUGUAGAGGGGGUAGAAUUCCAUGUGUAGCGGUGAAAUGCGUAGAGAUGUGGAGGAAUACCGGUGGCGAAGGCGGCCCCUGGACAAAGACUGACGCUCAUGUGCGAAAGCGUGGGGAGCAAACAGGGAUUAGAUACC
rnacentral:rRNA from 1 species